CCGGUGAGAUGGUUGUUGUGUGGAUAGAGAAUCAGCUCCAUGAAAACAAAACAAAGGAGCUGAUAUUGCAAUAGGUUAACCAGCUGCGUGAGCGUCUACGGACCCCAAACAGGGAGUCACCAGUCAGCUGCUGUGCGAUCUCGAAAAUGCGGGUUCUUUUAUGACCACCAUGGAUCCCUCACCCCAAGUCAUGAUCCAGUUGCUGAAUGUCCACAAGAAAAUUUAUGUAUUAAAGGGACCUCAUUCCCCAAGCUACUCGACGAAAAAUAAAAUGUAUGCAUGCGCCAAUGAAUUCCAAAAAUUAAUCCUCAUGUGUGUCCAAAUAUUUUGUCUGAGAAGUCCGAAUGUUCAGUGUUGGAGAAGUAUACCUCCCGCUAAUAGAACAGGGGAAAGAUCAUUUCGUUGAUGGCGAGUUCACACUGAUGCUGAUCACCGGCGCGCGUUGGCAGUGUCAUGCUGCUUGGUCAGCACUGCAACUACACAGCUAAGAAGGAGGUAGGUGAGGUGGGCCUGAGAUCUGGAGCAUCCAGCUAAGAGUGUUGAUUUUUGUGUGUGUUGGAUUCAGUACUUAUCAGUGAUAUUGGUAGUUCUCUGUAGUACUCUGUUUGUAUUAGUUUUACCUUUUCCAUCAUGAUUGCUUAGUUGCAUUAUUUUUGCUUCUAACUAUACUGCCCAGAUGUUACUAUACUUCCCUGCUGCAGAUGAUAGUGUCUCAAACUGGACUUUUUGAUCAUUUGAUAAACGUUUGGAAAUUCAAGCGUGGUCCUCUUCUGCAACCUGUGACCUAUUACUUCUUAAUUUAUGGACUUUAAGUUUCAGUCAUCCCUAUAUCGUCAGGUAAUAUAACAAGGCUAUUGUUUAGAUCAUAUAAUCAAGCAUGUCUUCUUAUCGGAAUUAGUGAUUGCCAUGUUUGUUGAAUUAAAGUUUCGCUUGUCAGAUCAGUUUACACACAUUGAAUUUUACUUAGGGUACCUCUAAGGUUUUACCUUCUGCAAAGAUAUAACACCUAUAGAUGAUCCGAUUUUUCUUCUUCUAGAUCCCCAUGUGUGUGUGUAUAUGUGUGUGGGUAACUAAUUUGCCCCGUGUAUAGGUAGACAAUGAUCAAUAUGAGAGGGUGCUCAGCUACAUAUUGAUCCUUGUCAAUAUACUGAAUUUGUACAAAUUUACUGAAUUUACAGAUGGAGCUAUAUGUCCUCGGUGAUGUACAAGCAAACAUUAAAUUGUUGCAGUGUACAAUGUCCCUGAGUAAUUCCUGGCGCUACAAGUUUUAAAAUAAAAAGAUGACGGGUCUCUACCAUAUUCAGCCUUCGCUUUAGAAUUUGAUUUGAACUAUAGGACAACUGGUUGCUUUUGGUAAUUUAUGCCACUAAUUCUCGGUCCUUUGUGUGAGCUAUGUUUUCCUUGCGCUUUUGCUUCUUAUUUACAUAUUGGUAUGGUGUCAGGUUUACUUGCCUACAAGUUUGGUUCCACUUGGUACGGACACCGUGCUCUGCUGUCAGCAUAUCUGUAGUAUCAGGAUAUUAUUACGACCUUGAAUGCUGAAUUUAAGGAUGUCUUAUCAUGUACUCCUUCCGUUCCAAAAUAGAUAACUCAACUUUGUACUAACUUUAAUACAAAGUUAGUAUAAGGUUGGGUCAUCUAUUUUGGAACGGAGGGAGUAUUACUUUGACUCCCUUCUGAAUUAUGAGGUCAUCCCAUAGUCGUCCACUAAUCUGGUGUCUGGUCCAUCUUCUUACCCUUAUCAUCCUCUGUCCAAUCUUGCCCUGAAUGUGUAUAGACUGUCGAAUACUUCAAACAAUGAGCAAUUUGAAGUUCAUAAAUAUGAAAAAUAUCUGAAAAUGGAUUCAUUUUUGUUGAAAUAACAAUGUGUAGAGUGGAAAUGCAGAACUAUAUGUUCCUAUUUCAACAACUGGUAUUGAAUAUAUGGUCAACCUUCUUAGAAAAAACUACAAAGUCUAAACAUUAUUGUGUGAUACAUAUGGAAAACUGUGAUGUCUAUUUUUCUGAAAUAUUUUUACUUUAUAAAAAGUUUUAAACAUGUCAUUGCAUUAUGUUUCAUAUUUUUGGCCAAGACGCUCUGUGGGGCGAUGUCACAUGGUCGGCAAGGCAGCGUUCUACAGCGCACCAGCCCGCAACAGAGGCGGCGCCCACGGCGCAGCCUUGGCCUUUGGUGCGCACCGCGGGGGCAGUGCUACCGGCCGCCGGCACGGCCCCGGAGCUGCUUCCCCAAAUGGUGGUGCCCAUGGCUGUGGCCCAUUGGCCCCCGGCCAGGUUCCCUGCGGAGGCGCGCGGGUGGCGGCCUCUGACUUGAAGUCUUCUUGAGAUUUGUACGCUGAUUGCUUGGCCGUCGCUUUGUACUGUCACUACCUAUACUGAAGAUUAGUUAUUUUGCUUUCACUUGGAGUGAGGUGUAGUGGGUUCAGGUUGCUGCUGCUGAUUUUUUUGUAUGUGAUGUUCUAAUGAUUGUGUGUCUGACCAAGCAUAGUUGCGCUUCUGACAAUGUAUUGGCCUUCCUUUGCUGCACCGAAGUUAGUGAAUUGUUCACCGUGCUUGACAUUGUUCUA